CAGUAAUGAACCACAUAGACAAAAGUCUUUGCUCUCACAGGCUUGAAUUCUGGUGAGGAAGACUAGAAAUAGAAAACAAUUAAAUAUUUAUAUACAGUGUUGGAUAGUGUUAACUGCCAAGGAGUAAAAAUAAAGCGGGGAAGAGAAUGUGAAAUGUCAUAGACAGCAUUGAAGUUCUAGGCAGGGCUAGUCAGGAAGGCAUCAGUGGGAAGACGACAUUUGAGUAAAGACCUGAAGGAAAUGCAGUUGCUCCAUGCAGAUCAGGAGGAAAGAACAUUCCAGGCAGAGGCAACAGCAGGUGCGAGGCCGUAAAAAAACCAAGGAAGCCUGUGUGGUUAGAGCAGGUUGAGCAAAGGAGGGAAUGUGGUAGGCUGAGAAGUAACACAGAACUGAAUUGAGUAGGGCGUUUAUGUAAGGACUAUUAAACUGAGUAAGAUGGGAAGCCAUUAGCAUUUUGAGCAGAGAAGUAACAUGAUUUUACAUACAUUCUAAUAGAAGCACUCAGUGGGCCGGGCACAAUGGCACACCUGUCAUUCCAACACUUUGGAAGGCCAAGACAGGAGGAUCCCUUGAGCCCAGGAGUUCGAG
rnacentral:lncRNA from 1 species